GCUGCGCGGAGCGGGGACCGCUCGGCAGCUGCAGCCUCGCGCGGGGAGCGGCGCGGAGCCCGCGGGCUCGGGUCAUGCUGCGCACGCCCUGCUGCUGCCGCUCGCCCCUGCCCCUGCUUCUGUCCCGCCGCGGGAAUAAUGCACUAGGAUGUCAGCGCUGAGAAAGGAUUUCUCAUCCACUGAAGCACGAGUGUAACCACUGAAAGUUCACCCCUGCUGCUACUUGUGAAUGCCUGCAACGUGCACAAGGCUCAGACAUUAUGGGGACGACUCAGGUUCUGCCUGGCAUACUGCAAAAGCACUGCUGUAUUUUACCGGACAGGAAUACAGAGUCACAGUGUACGCUCUGUGGGGAGCCUGAAGGUUUGGAUUCUCUAUCAGGGCAUGCAUUUCCAGAGCUGCAAGUGUUAUGAGCAUAUUGAGGACUUCCAGAAGCUGGAUUAGAGCAUGUCUUUUAGAAUGAUAUCUAAGGCCGUCUUAAGACUCCAAGCAAUGGUGAGUCCACCGGCUCCCGUG